rnacentral:rRNA from 1 species
AGCAUGUGGUGGAUGCCUUGGCAAUGAAGUAGGCGAACGAAGGACGUGAUAGCCUGCGAUAAGCUUCGGGGAGCUGGCAAAUUAGCUUUGAUCCGGAGAUUUCCGAAUGGGGAAACCCACCGAAAGGUAUCGCAUACUGAAUACAUAGGUAUGCGAGGCGAACCGGGUGAACUGAAACAUCUCAGUAGCUCGAGGAAAAGACAUCAACCGAGAUUCCGAAAGUAGUGGCGAGCGAAAUCGGAGAAGCCUGUUAGUGAUAGCACAACUCUUAACGAAACGGUCUGGAAAGAUCGGCCAUAGCAGGUGAUAGCCCUGUACGUGAAAAGUGAUGUGUGAUACUGAGCUAACGAAAAGUAGGGCGGGGCACGAGAAACCUUGUCUGAAUAUGGGGGGACCAUCCUCCAAGGCUAAAUACUCAUCAUUGACCGAUAGUGAACUAGUACCGUGAGG